GUUCUGGUAGCUUAAGCCUAAAAGCAUUGACCUUGUAAAUCAAAAACGGAUAAACCAAUCCCCAGGACA
rnacentral:tRNA from 1 species